CCUGAUCUGACGGGAAAAAAGCUGAAAUGGCAUCAGUGGUGACAUAUGCAUGCAAAAUGGACCCGCGGUUGACGGUAACGUCAGACGCUUGACGAACACUGCAAAGCGCACUCGCACGAAUACGGCUAAUGAAUGCGAAGUGGAACAUACAAUAAGGAAUGAGGCUAAUUUUAUGAAGGCGACGAUUAAGUACCCUAUGCUGUGAAAUUCAACAACUAAGAGUUAUUUAGAUGCAUACAAGUAUGUAAUACCUACAUUAAGUCGCUUGUAUAUUGUAGGUAUAGUAUACAUAUGUAUGACUGCGUUACUGUUAUGUAUACAUAUGUAUGUUUGCAUGUGCACAGAUAAUAUAUGGCUCGCAGAAGUAAUGCAAAAUUCAAAGUGCUGGUUCAACUAAAGAGUGCACGAAAGCAAACGCUUACAGUCGCACAUUGGGCCAGCGAGCCGAUUUUUCGACGAAAAUUCAAGUUUUAGAGCUUCUUUGGUACAUAUGAUAGAGUCGAUACAAAUAAAAAUAUAUCUAAGUUUCAGACCGAUCUGACCACGCCUUCCCUAGCCGCCCACAUGAGAUUGGUUUCCUCUUAUUGAUACGUGUACGGAGAGAUGUGUUGUGAGCUGAAUUGGAUAACAGUUCUCUCUUCUGACAAGGACCGGUGUUAACAUAUUUAAUGGGUGGUCGUCCAACUGGUCUUGAUGUUGACGGCUUCGGAUUUGAAGACAACAAUGAACUUACUGUCAUAGCUAUAUUGGACAAAAGCCAUUUGCUUUUUUUUAAAGUAACUUCCAACUAAAAACAGCUUUUUUUGCCCAACAAAAGUUAGCAACAGCUGAUCUACUGACCUGGCACACAACAACAAUAGACGAAGGCUUAAAAGGCUUCACCCUUUGGACCACAGAUUUCCACAAAAACUUGUAAAUUUUUUAAAUAUGUGUAAAUAAUGUAAAUACUGACUUCUAGCUUAAGGUUUAAUGAUGACUGCGCUAUAGAGUUUAAGACAAGAAGCCGCAAUAAAAAAUUAUUUAAAAAAAAAAAAAAAA